UUCCGGUUGAUCCUGCCGGAGGCCAUUGCUAUCGGAGUCCGAUUUAGCCGUGCUAGUCGCACGGGUUUAGACCCGUGGCGGAAAGCUCAGUAACACGUGGCCAAACUGUCCUAUGGAUCGAGAUAACCUCGGGAAACUGAGGCUAAUCUCGAAUAAGGCUUCCAUUCUGGAAUGAAGGAAGCUGGAAACGCCCCGGCGCCAUAGGAUGUGGCUGCGGCCGAUUAGGUAGACGGUGGGGUAACGGCCCACCGUGCCGAUAAUCGGUACGGGUUGUGAGAGCAAGAGCCCGGAGACGGAUUCUGAGACAAGAAUCCGGGCCCUACGGGGCGCAGCAGGCGCGAAAACUUUACACUGCACGACAGUGCGAUAAGGGGACUCCGAGUGCGAGGGCAUAUAGUCCUCGCUUUUGUACACCGUAAGGUGGUGUACGAAUAAGGGCUGGGCAAGACCGGUGCCAGCCGCCGCGGUAAUACCGGCAGCCCGAGUGAUGGCCGCUAUUAUUGGGCCUAAAGCGUCCGUAGCCGGCCAGACAGGUCCGUCGGGAAAUCCAGUGGCUUAACCACUGGGCGUCCGGCGGAAACCAGCUGGCUUGGGGCCGGAAGACCUGAGGGGUACGUCCGGGGUAGGAGUGAAAUCCUGUAAUCCUGGACGGACCGCCGGUGGCGAAAGCGCCUCAGGAAGACGGACCCGACGGUGAGGGACGAAAGCUAGGGUCACGAACCGGAUUAGAUACCCGGGUAGUCCUAGCUGUAAACGAUGCUCGCUAGGUGUGGCGCUGGCUACGAGCCAGCGCUGUGCCGUAGGGAAGCCGAGAAGCGAGCCGCCUGGGAAGUACGUCCGCCAGGAUGAAACUUAAUGGGAAUGGCGAGGGGAGCACUACAACCCGGAGGAGCCUGCGGUUAAUUGG
rnacentral:rRNA from 1 species